GACGAGGAGAAGUCCCACAGGAGACUGAAGCGGAAACGGAAGAAAGAGCGGGAGAAAGAGAAAAGGAGGUCGAAGAAGAGGAGGAAAUCCAAGCACAAACGCCAUGCUUCUUCUAGCGAUGACUUCUCUGACUUCUCAGAUGACUCGGAUUUCAGCCCCAGUGAGAAAGGGCACCGCAAGUACAGAGAGUACAGCCCCCCGUAUGCGCCGGUGAGUGACUGGCGUGCCCUGCCUGAGCUCUGGGGCCGGGAGGAGUUCAACUGCUUGUGUUUCUUGAGCACUUGGUGUGUUCUGGGCAUUUUUUGUGAGUUUCAGUCCUGGGCCAUCAGGUAUUAGUUUAAUCCCCAUUUUAUGAGUGAGGAAACUGAGACUUAGACACUUUAAACAAGGCAGCCUAGACAACCAAGUGAGACUCCACAAAAAAUAAA
rnacentral:sRNA from 1 species